AUGCUCACGUCGGCAGCAGAUAUACUAAAAUUGGAGCGAUACACAGAAGAUUAGUAUGGCCCCUGUGCAAGGACGACAUGCAAAUUUGUGAAGCGUUCCAUAUUUUU